rnacentral:rRNA from 1 species
AUGGCAAAGUGUGUCGGCGUCGCGCUCCUGCUACUGGUGGUGCUCGCGUCCUGCGAAGGGAGGGAGCUGAACGAGAAGAAUGGCGCACUCGCAGCUACACGCGGUGCCGGUGCAGGUGGCAGCAUCGACGAGUCGAAGAUUUUGGGGUUGCCUGAGUUGCCGCUUACCACAACCAUUACGGGCCCGGUGGUGGUGCUUCCUGCAGUUCCUGGGAUCCCUGCUCAUCCAUGA